rnacentral:rRNA from 1 species
AUUGAACGCUGGCGGCAGGCCUAACACAUGCAAGUUGAGCGGAGCGGCGGACGGGAGAGUAAUGCCUGGGAAUCUGCCUGGUAGUUGGGGAUAACGUCCGGAAACGGGCGCUAAUACCGCAUACUAUCAGAUGAGCCUUGUUCGUAUUAGAUAGUUGGUGGGGUAAAGGCCUACCAAGGGGACGAUCCGGGACUGGACUGAGAGGAUGAUCAGUAAGCCUGGAACUGUGACACGGUCCAGACUCCUACGGGAGUCAGCAGGGGGGAAUAUUGGACAAAGGGCGAAAGCCUGAUCCAGCCAUGCCGCUUGUGUGAAGAAGGUCUUCGGAUUGUAAAGCACUUUAAGUUGGGAGGCGUUACCAGCAGAAUAAGCACCGGCUAACUACGUGCCAGCAGCCGCGGUAAUAC